GGGGGAUAACUGAUCGAAAGAUCAGCUAAUACCGCAUACGUCUUGAGAGGGAAAGCAGGGGACCUUCGGGCCUUGCGCUAUCCGAGCGGCCGAUAUCUGAUUAGCUGGUUGGCGGGUAAGGCCACCAAGGCGACGAUCAGUAGCGGGUCUGAGAGGAUGAUCCGCCACACUGGGACUGAGACACGGCCCAGACUCCUACGGGAGGCAGCAGCC
rnacentral:rRNA from 1 species